UGCCUACGGGGCGCAGCAGUGGGGAAUAUUGCACAAUGGGGGAAACCCUGAUGCAGCGACGCCGCGUGAGUGAAGAAGUAUUUCGGUACGUAAAGCUCUAUCAGCAGGGAAGAAAUAAAGUCCUUCGGACUUUGGACGGUACCUGGACAAGAAGCCCCGGCUAACUACGUGCCAGCAGCCGCGGUAAUACGUAGGGGGCAAGCGUUAUCCGGAUUUACUGGGUGUAAAGGGAGCGCAGGCGGCGUGGCAAGUCAGAUGUGAAAACCCGGGGCCCAACCCCGGGAGUGCAUUUGAAACUGCCAUGG
rnacentral:rRNA from 1 species